AGCAGAGACUCCUGCUCAGACAGCUUCUUCCUGAGACGGUCGAUGACUUUUGAACCCUUGUUGGCUCUCUGAAAUCACAGAGUUCCUGAACAGAUUUUUAUGAAACAGUGUCCCAUCCAAGCUACCUUCUCCCUCUGGAUCUCGCUGCGGAGGUGUGAGAUCUUGACCUUCAUGGCGUCGAGCUCUUCAUCUGGGACCUGGGGGAUGCUUGGCGCAGAGCAGCAGAUCAGUGAAGAGGAAGACAUGCCGCAGCUUCCUGGCUCCCUCCACCAACUCCACCAUGAAACUGUCCCUCAGAAGCUGGCGGCUCUAUGGUGGAAAAACAGACAACAGCGGUGGGUCAGAGACACAAAGCUGUUGGCGUCAAUAACUCAUUAAAGAGGCACAUUUAUGGCCUGUCACACAAAAACGGUUGCUGUCGAUUGUUCCACUUGGUUGGCUGGUUGAAUGAACACUGAAUCUGUACUUGGUGAAACUUAAACAUAUGGAUAUUCUUUUCUAAUAUAGUAGUCUGUGUUAUGUAGGCAGCAGUAACAGCUUCUUAGCAUACAGUAUCAUAUAAGGACAUUUCUGUAAGUCUUUGUAACAAAUCUGUUGCAGCAUGUCACACAGGGAGCAGCUUGCUUGCAGAGCCUUUCUAUUGUAUUCCUGCAUCCCUCUCUUCCCACCUUAGCGGUCCUCUGUUACCAGCAGGCAACUUGGGAGAGGUAAGGCCAAGAUCAUAGAGGAGGGAGCAAGGAGUCUGGAUUUUAGUUUUACUUGCUGCGCCACCAUCAAAAAUGUCGGCUUUACUAGAUCAUCAGUGACAAAGCUCAUGUGCUCAAUAUUAACCAAAUUAUAAAUCAAAAAUGUGGAGAUGUGCUUUAGAUUGCAUUGUUUAAACUAAUUACCUGGUGAAUUCUUUUGUCACAUUCUGGCAUAAUCAUCCAUCUCUAGAAAACAGAGGAACGAAUGAGGUGGCUGUGGAGAAGGAAGAGUGUGAUUCGGAGCUCUGUGGUCUUACCGCUGAUGUCAGACUAUGUAAUGAGAUGUGUAAUACUUUCACUUGCCAAAAGGGGGCAGUGAUGUCAUUUUGCAAACAAGAAAACAAGAAUGGACUUGAAACAGGGAGCAGACAAAUGUCACACCACAACUCCAUAGUAAGCGGUCCACUUACACAUGCUCAUAACCUUGUUUUUACUUGUGGUGCGGGGUAAAAUGGUAAGGCAAGGAAGGUUUAUUGUGAUAAAAAAUUUUUUUUUACUCAGCAGGCAAACGGAGCAGUUUGCAUCUAGU